GGUAGUUAGGUACCAGACGAAACUUCUAGUUUGCAGCAUGCGGCAGCAUGGACGGCAUGACUUCGUUUUGGAAGGUUUUCUUCUCAAAAAUUGUUGAAAAUGCGUGGUUUUGGAGGUUGCUUGCCUCACUUAUUGCCACAAGAACAAGUUUAGAUGUUGGUGAAAUCCGUCAGAAACUGUGUAUCUCUGUGAAUUGCUGGGUUUGAGUCUUGACUUGAAGAACCAUGCGGCUGAAAAUGGGAUUUGAAUGUCGCGGCAUUUCUGCACGUGGUCUGAGCCAUGCGCCAGCACACGAAUGGGAAAAUGGUCCUUGAGAGCAUAGGAGGCCUCAUCUCAGCAGGAGUCUUCAUCUAUGAGAAUGGGCUAUUACGAUUCCAGUCGGCCACACUUCAAGAAACAGCCUAUGGACUCCUGGUGGAAAAACAACAGCGCAAGCUGCAUGAGACAUACACCAUCUACUUAGAGCAACGGUACCUCGGAUUCAUCAAUGAAAAAGAAAGGAAGACAUUCAGCCAAAAAAGAAGAGUUGAAUGGUUCAGCAGAGAAAGGAAGACAUUCAGCCAAAAAAGAAGAGUUGAAUGGUUCAGCAGAGAAAGGAAGACAUUCAGCCAAAAAAGAAGCGUCGAAUGGUUCAGCAGAGGUCCUUGAGAGCAUAGGAGGCCUCAUCUCAGCAGGCGUCUUCAUCUAUGAGAAUGGGCUGUUACGAUUCCAGUCGGCCACACUUCAUGAAACAGCCUAUGGACUCCUGGUGGAAAAACAACGGCGCAAGCUGCAUCAGAGAUGCACCAUCUACUUAGAGCAACGUUACCUCGGAUCCAUCAACGAAAAAAAAAGGAAGACAUUCAGCC
rnacentral:misc_RNA from 1 species